rnacentral:rRNA from 1 species
AUUGAACGCUGGCGGCAUGCCUUACACAUGCAAGUCGAACGGUAGCAGGUCUUCGGAUGCUGACGAGUGGCGAACGGGUGAGUAAUACAUCGGAACGUGCCCGAUCGUGGGGGAUAACGAGGCGAAAGCUUUGCUAAUACCGCAUACGAUCUACGGAUGAAAGCGGGGGAUCUUCGGACCUCGCGCGGACGGAGCGGCCGAUGGCAGAUUAGGUAGUUGGUGGGAUAAAAGCUUACCAAGCCGACGAUCUGUAGCUGGUCUGAGAGGAUGAUCAGCCACACUGGGACUGAGACACGGCCCAGACUCCUACGGGAGGCAGCAGUGGGGAAUUUUGGACAAUGGGCGAAAGCCUGAUCCAGCCAUGCCGCGUGCAGGAUGAAGGCCUUCGGGUUGUAAACUGCUUUUGUACGGAACGAAAAGCCUCUUUCUAAUAAAGAGAGGUCAUGACGGUACCGUAAGAAUAAGCACCGGCUAACUACGUG